rnacentral:RNase_P_RNA from 2 species
UAAGUAGGACAAACAGUCGCGGAUGCAAGUCCCGAAAGGGAGCAGACGAGGAAAGUCCGGGCUUCACAGGGCAGGAUGCCGGAUAACGUCCGGUGGAGGCGACUCCAAGGAUAGUGCAACAGAAAUAAACCGCCGCUUAUGCGGUAAGGGUGGAAAGGCAGUGUAAGAGACUACCGCCUUUCUGGUAACAGGGAGGGCACAUGUAAACCCCAUCCGAAGAAAGACCGAAUGAAAACGAUACGGCGGCCCGUCGUGUUUUAGGUGGGUUGAUGGAACCCCGUGGCGACAUGGGGUCUAGAUAGAUGACUGUUCGAGACAUAACCCGGCUUACCGUCCUGCUCAUGCC